rnacentral:rRNA from 1 species
AUUGAACGCUGGCGGCAUGCUUUACACAUGCAAGUCGAACGGCAGCACGGGGGCAACCCUGGUGGCGAGUGGCGAACGGGUGAGUAAUGCAUCGGAACGUAUCCUUAAGUGGGGGAGUAACGCAUCGAAAGAUGCGCUAAUACCGCAUAAUCUCUAAGGAGAAAAGACAGGGAUCGCAAGACCUUGCGCUUUUGGAGCGGCCGAUGUCUGAUUAGCAGUUGGUGAGGUAAAGGCUUACCAAGGCUUCGAUCAGUAGCUGGUCUGAGAGGACGACCAGCCACACUGGGACUGAGACACGGCCCAGACUCCUACGGGAGGCAGCAGUGGGAAUUUUGACAAUGGGGAAACCCUGAUCCAGCCAUGCCGCGUGAGUGAAG